rnacentral:rRNA from 1 species
CGGAACGGGUGAGUAACGCGUGAAUAACCUGACUCAAAGAAGGGGGAGUAACAACGGGAAAACUAGUUGCUAAUACCGCAUGAGACCACAACACCGCAUGAUGAAGGGGUCAAAGAUUUAUCGCUUUGAGAGGGGUUCGCGUCCCAUUAGGUAGUUGGAGGGGUAACGGCCCACCAAGCCAACGAUGGGUAGCCGAGCUGAGAGGCUGAUCGGCCACACUGGAACUGAGACACGGUCCAG